UGUCGUCAGCUCGUGUCGUGAGAUGUUCGGUUAAGUCCGCUAACGAGCGCAACCCUCGUCGUAUGUUAUAUGUGUCAUACGAGACUGCCGGUAAAAAGCCGGAGGAAGGUGAGGAUGAUGUCAAGUCAGCAUGACCUUUAUAUCCAGGGCUACACACACGCUACAAUGGUCUGUACAAUGGGUAGCCAAGCCGCGAGGCGGAGCCAAUCCUGAAAGCAGGCCUCAGUUCAGAUUGCAGUCUGCAACUCGACUGCAUGAAGCCGGAGUUGCUAGUAACCGCAGGUCAGCAAUACUGCGGUGAAUACGUUCCCGGGUCUU
rnacentral:rRNA from 1 species